UUGUGUGUGUUUUUGUUGUAUUACAAAAUAAUUUUAGAAAGUGGUGUGAGAGAAAACAAAGAGAUUGUGAGAUAAAAAAUAUUAUAUUGUGUGGUGUGUUGUUUGUCUUCUAGUCAAUUUAAUGCAAAAGUUUCUUUUCAAUUACCCAUCAUUUCUUUUAUAUUUCCAACAGAGCAGCUGAAUUUUCACACCCACCCAUAUCAAUACUCCUUGCCCCUACACGAUUUUGUCCUGGAUCACCCCUGUCAUUGAUCUUCCCUCAAGAUUGAUUUAUGUACUCCACUACUCACUUUAGCAGGACCUUUGUCAAUCUUGGAAGCUUCACCUACAUUGUUAUCUUCACCUACACGAUUCAUAACUUUGUCCUUGUUCCCCUUGCCAAUUUGAUUUCCUCCAUCUGUGUGCAAGACCUGCUGUUCUACAGAAUUUUCUUUUGCCUUUCAUCUCUCUAAUGCACAUGCUUUUUGCAUUGAGAUACUCCAUAGCAUCACCUUGCAACUUAUCAAGACUGCCCAGGCCUUCCCGUUCAUUUGGUGUUAGUUGUUCUUACAUGUUUAUUGCUUUGUCCCUCUAUAUAGCUUAAGACAACUUUUUCAAGUGAUGAAUGUUGAUGUGAGACAAAAUUUACUAUUCAUGGACCCGCAUUACUAUUCACGCGUUACUAUUCACGCAUGUGAAGAAAAGUGGUCGGUUACUGUUCAUGGGACCCACAUUCCGCGUUACUAUUCACGUGUUACUAUUCAUAGUACUAUUCAUGUGA
rnacentral:lncRNA from 1 species